GACGUAGGGCGCGAGCGUUGUCCGGAUUUAUUGGGCGUAAAGAGCUCGUAGGCGGCUUGUCGCGUCGACUGUGAAAACCCGUGGCUCAACCAUGUGGUCUGCAGCCGAUACGGGCAGGCUAGAGUUCGGUAGGGGAGACUGGAAUUCCUGGUGUAGCGGUGAAAUGCGCAGAUAUCAGGAGGAGCACCGGUGGCGAAGGCGGGUCUCUGGGCCGAUACUGACGCUGAGGAGCGAAAGCGUGGGGAGCGAACAGG
rnacentral:rRNA from 1 species